rnacentral:rRNA from 1 species
UUCAAGGAUGAAAGACGGUUUCGGCUGUCACUUACAGAUGGACCCGCGGCGCAUUAGCUAGUUGGUGAGGUAACGGCUCACCAAGGCGACGAUGCGUAGCCGACCUGAGAGGGUGAUCGGCCACACUGGGACUGAGACACGGCCCAGACUCCUACGGGAGGCAGCAGUAGGGAAUCUUCCGCAAUGGACGAAAGUCUGACGGAGCAACGCCGCGUGAGUGAUGAAGGUUUUCGGAUCGUAAAGCUCUGUUGUUAGGGAAGAACAAGUGCAAGAGUAACUGCUUGCACCUUGACGGUACCUAACCAGAAAGCCACGGCUAACUACGUGCCAGCAGCCGCGGUAAUACGUAGGUGGCAAGCGUUGUCCGAAAUUAUUGGGCGUAAAGGGCUCGCAGGCGGUUUCUUAAUUCUGAUGUGAAAGCCCCCGGCUCACCCGGNAAGGGUCAUUGAAAACUGGGAAACUUGAUUGCAGAAAAGGAGAGUGGAAUUCCACGUGUAGCGGUGAAAUGCGUAAAGAUGUGGAGGAACACCAGUGGCGAAGGCGACUCUCUGGUCUGUAACUGACGCUCAGGAGCGAANGCGNGGGGAGCAAACACGAUUACAUACCCUGGNAGUCCACGCCUUAACCAUAAUUGCUANCUGNUAGGGGGGUUUCCGCCCCUNACUGCUGCAACUAAAGCAUUAAGGACUCCNCCUGGGGAGUACGGUGCCACGAGUGGUA